UGCAACCGUACGGUCACCGGCCGCCAUCUUGGGAAGCUCAAAACAUUGCCGUCCGCCACUCAGCUGCAUUAUGUGCAUGCGCCUUUGCGUAGCAUUUUUGUGGCGUCAUGCCCGCCUGCUGUGGUUAUGGGUGUGCUGACCGUACUGGCAAGGCACCGUGGACGACAUUUCACAAGUUCCCUCACGGCCGCCCAGAACAUUUAAACAAAAUAUGCGGUAAAUGUCAGGCGAAAGGACUGGACGCCGUCGACGACAUCACUGGUCUGCAGCAAACAUUUAAAAAACAACUGCUUCGACAGACGCUGUGCCCAACAAGUUCGACUUCCCAGAACACCUCCAGAAAGUAAUAAUGCAUGCGACAUAUGUAGAGGCCGGAUUUAUAUGCACUAAAAGCUGGUUGAACACA